rnacentral:misc_RNA from 1 species
GUUAUUGGUAAUUUUUUUUUUUUUGGCACACUAUUAACCUUACAGUUGGUAUGUCAAAUUCAGAAUGACUGCUUAUUCAAUUGCAGCUGAGGAGAUUUUACUUUGUUCCGUAUGUGAAAUCUAAGUACUGGUUCAAUUGUUCGUUAAGAUUGUGUUUGAAAACCCUAAUAAUUCAAGAAUUCAAUUGAAUUGAAUUCUUUUUGGGAAUUCUCAUGUUUGGAAAACUUAUGAUUGCUAAAAUUCAAUUCUUUCAAGUUGAAAACAAGUAAUUUUGAAAGAAAUAGAAAUCAGCCUUAAAGAGGUAUGAUUUUGAAGGUGUCCACUAUUGAAAACCCUAGAUAUUUCCAUUGAAAAUAAAUUUUGACUCUUAUCACUGAAAUUUAUUCCAAAACAAAAAUUUGGGGUAUGAAUUUUUCAAAUAGGUUUAAAUGGAAUUUUAUCUGGUGCUACAUAGUCUGUUAGGAAAAGAGAGAUGAUGAGUGUCAAUUGCAUAUUUGUGGGGAAGUCUGCCAAGUUCACCAUGUCAAGCAUAUCAAGCAGCUUCACCCUGUCUUCAUUCUGUAUGUAAGUAGGGAAGUCUAAUUUUUCAAAUCAAUUAAAAUCCUCUCUAUAUAGCUAGUGUCAAUACACUGAAAAACAAAAACCAAGACACUGAAGCAUAGAUCGCAUAUCUUUCCUCAAAGGUAAUAAAAGUUGGGGGUGGGGGAGAAAGCACUGUGCAUAUUUCUCACAAGAUGUCCUUCCGCAACAGAGAUGAAUCACAUGUAUUAUCUUGUUUAUUUUGGUGUCCUAGUGAAUUAUGUGGUUAAAUUCAGCAUAACUUUAAGGUUGUUUUGAAGUUACAAUACCAAGACAAAGCUUUGUUUGUGUACAUUUUUAUGGUAAUACAAAUGUAGAACUUACUUGGAUAUGAUUGAGCUGAAACUGUAAAUGUCUAUACUCUUCGCUACCAACUUGUGAUUUUCCAUUUCUCAUUUAUGUUUAGUGUGUAUGAAUAAAGUGCCAAUGUACUCUCUUUUAUAUUUUUUUGGACUACUUGAUACUUGUAUUUUCUGGUUUAUUUAUAUUUUAUUCAUGUACUCUUUUACUACAU